rnacentral:tRNA from 1 species
GGCGCCGGUGGUGGACCGGAUCCGGCCUUUCGCCCGCGCUCACCGGGCCGGCUGGGUCGUGACGACCCAGAUCGGCGUGAUCGCCUGCCUGCUCGCGCUG